CCUACGGGAGGCAGCAGUAAGGAAUAUUGGUCAAUGGAGGCAACUCUGAACCAGCCAUGCCGCGUGCAGGAUGACGGCCCUAUGGGUUGUAAACUGCUUUUAUACAAGAGAAAACCCUGGUACGUGUACCAGGUUGAUAGUAUUGUAAGAAUAAGCAUCGGCUAACUUCGUGCCAGCAGCCGCGGUAAGACGAAGGAUGCAAGCGUUAUCCGGAUUCAUUGGGUUUAAAGGGUGCGUAGGCGGACUGAUAAGUCAGUGGUGAAAUCUCUUUGCUUAACAAAGAAACUGCCAUUGAUACUGUCGGUCUAGAGUAUAGAUGACGUUGGCGGAAUAUGACAUGUAGUGGUGAAAUACUUAGAUAUGUCAUAGAACACCGAUUGCGAAGGCAGCUAACGAAACUAUAACUGACGCUGAGGCACGAAAGUGCGGGGAUCAAACAGGAUUAGAUACCCUGGUAGUCCGCACCGUAAACGAUGAUUACUCGUUGUUGGCGAUAUGACAGUCAGCGACCAAGCGAAAGCGAUAAGUAAUCCACCUGGGGAGUACGCCGGCAACGGUGAAACUCAAAAGAGUAGUUAGACGGAGAGAGAGCGACGACGACGACGACGGAGGGAGGAGG
rnacentral:rRNA from 1 species